GCUCCGCUCGUCUCGACGUCACCACUGCUCCUCUCUCUCUCCGCAUCGACGCCGUACGCGAAGCAUUGUUUUCGACUCCGAAUAAUUAUUAUGUAUAAUUGUUUUUCUUAACUAAUGUUGUUUUUAAUUGUUGCGUGCNCGCCUUUCCUCCGUCAAAAGCCGUCUGCUGGCGAUCACUUGUAUUAUGUCUUUAUGUUGUAAAUAAGCGUUUCUUUAUUACCUUAUCAUAAACCUCGUAUCUUGGUGUAACCCGCCAAAAUACUAAUAAAAGAAACGGUUCUUAUCUGUAACCGUUUAUUUUAUAAGUUGUAUAAGUGUCAAGUGAUAUAAACCACGAAUUAAAAAUAAUUAUACUAAAAUACUGAAUAUAUUUUGAUCAUAGACCAAAUAACUUAUUAGGUCUAUGAUUUUAACUUAUAAUACAUUUUUCAUUAAUAAGUUUUUUAUAUUGUCUGGUUAAAAUCACGGAAUAUGAAUCUCGUUUAUUCUUAGUUCGUGGUUAGAAUACGCUGGUUAAACGCAAAAAACAGCAAGUGAUAAAAUGUGAUAUUGCUAUCAUAUAAUUAAUUUAAAUAAAAUUCUGUGCGUUAUCCACGAACUCUAGUAGCUUAGUGUUCAAGGUCAUAAUAUUAUUUUUGAUAAAAAAUUUAAUUAGAUAAAUGACAAAAAAUAUGCCAAAUUGCCCAUUCAUCGUUAUUCAUUUUACUUCUUUAAUUUUUAUUCUUAUCUGCUAGUUUUAAGUUUGUUCGUCAUCACCGACUAAAUAUUUAGCCAUGGUCUAGUUCUAUACAUUUAAAUAUUACAAUAAACGUUUAGUUUCUUAAGCAUAGUGUAACAUUUCUAAUACUUAUAUAUUUUUAUUAUUUUUUUUUAAAAAAAGGUGAAUAUUUUUCAUACCAUGUUAAUAAUUUUAGUCACUUUAGUGUUAAGUUGUUUAGUUAGUCAUAUACUAACUGAAAAUUCAUGCAAUGGCAUACACAGCAAUUUUUCUCAACAUUUAGCCUCCAAAACACCGUAUAGAUAUAUUGCCAAUUACAACACAACACCUGUUGAAUUUAAGGGUAAUUAUGAAAAAUAAUUAUUCAACAAUAUUAGAUAGGGUAUAUUAUUCAUCAUACCUAGAUAAAAAUAUAUUAUUUUGGUGAUUAGGAUGUUAUCCUUGGAAAAUUUGGCUAGUUCAAAGACAUGGUACAAGAACACCUGGAAAAGAAUUGGAUCAAUUUGUGAAAGAAAGGUUACCAGUAAUUCAACAAGAAAUCACAAACAAUUUAAUUAAGCAUGAAGGUAUAAAAUUUAAAUUUGUAUUUUUAUAUUAAUUUAAUUGUGGAUAACAAUUUUUUUUUUUUUUUAGUAUUGGUAGAUAGGUAUCAUAAAAAGUUCAAUAAAUAAGUAUAUAGAAAAAAAAAUUAUUUUGUUUAUUGGCGUUUCGCUAGGUGGGUUGCGCAAAAAUAAAACAAUCAUAUUUUAACACUUUUUAAUUAAAAAAUAAAAAUAUAAAAUAUAUUAUGACAUGUAAUUUUUGUUCAAAUUUUUUAUAAUUUCCACAUCAAAAUUAUUCUUGUGUCUGGUAGAGAUGAUUAAAACUGUUAAAUGUAAUUGAUGUAGGAUUGGUUUUAAUUUUUUUCAUACAAGAAAAGAUCUGUUCACAGACAAAUGUAGAUCUAAAUUUGUUGCAGCUAUAUUAUCUAAAUAUUGAAAAUGAUGGAGUUAGUUCAGCAAAAGAAAAUACGGACACUUCGCACAAUAGGUGGGCCACUGUUGUAGGUGAGAUAUUAGGAAAGUAGGAUAUAGAGAGGCACUUAAUGUAUUCUUAUAUGUAGCGAGUAAUCAUUGCUAAUAAAAACAAUUUUAAGCAGAGUUAUAUGUUUUAAAAUGCAUAAUUAUGACCUUUAUUCACUGAAAUUUUAUAAUAAAAUUUGUUUUAAAAAAAAUACUAAGUACAUUAAACUCAACUUUUCCUUGUUGGCCCUACUAAGUACAACUUAUAAUGAACCUUAUGUUAAAUAUUCAAACAUUUCUGUUUGGUCUAUCAAUUUUAUCCACAGAGUACCUACUGAAAAAAUAUUUUACGUAAAAACCUUGCAAAAUUAAAAUAUCUAUUAAUAACUUAAAAAUGGCUCAAAUGUUUUGAAAAUUUCACCAUGUUUAAAAAAAACCAAAUAAAAGGUUUCUAAACAAAUUUCAAGUCUCUACGUCUCUAAAUCUUUAACUGAAUUACAAUAAAAAACAAAAUUGAAAAUCAUGAAAGCAUUAUUUCCUACAUUUUCCCAGUUUUCCCCAAUUAUUUUUAAAACUGCUUGGAAAAUCUAAAAAUGACUUCCUUUAAGUAGCACCCCAGGAAAAUUUCUUUUCAAGAUUUCUGGUAAAAUUUUUGUACACAGUAAAAGAAAAAAAACCAUCAUUGUUAAACUAAUACAUUUCUCGCUUCGCUUAGAAUUUAAUACAAAGAUGAUUGAUUGAAUAAGUUUUUAAGAAUAUCUUGUGAUUGUAAAUCUAAUAUUUCAAUUUGAAACCCAAUAGUAACAUAUUGUCAAAAUAAAUAUUAAAUAGUAUGGCAUGUAAUUAAAAAUAUUGUGAACAUAAUUUGAAAUGUAGAAAAUAAUUAUUUAAUUAUUAAUUUGUAUUGAACUAUACCUAGUCUAGGUAUCUAGAAGUAAAUGCAUAUUACACACUUGUACUGAAAAGAGGAGUAUGAAAUAAAUAUUUGUGCCACUGUUUACCUAUUACCGGUCUAAAUUCAUAGAAAAUCCAAUCAUUUUAACACCCUUGUCUUAUUGAUUAAACCACUAAGUACUUACAAUAUUGUCUAAAUUGUAUCAUAUAUUGUUAUAUAAUCAAGUGAACCAAAAAUUUAACUGUGCAUUUUGAUUCUUAAACCUAAACCUUAAAAGUGCAAGUGGUGUAUGACAAAAUAAGCUUUCAAGAUACCUGUUUGUACAGUUUGGGAGAUUUUCCUAGAACCUUGUAUGGGAAAUUUUAAGCAAAGGUCAAGGUUUACUAGUGACAAAGAUUCUUUUGACCAAUUAUAGGUUUGCUUAUUAUAUUAGAACCCUAAGUUUAUAUAAUAUAUUCAUUAUUUUUUUUUACAAUUUUUGCACGCUAUAUUUAAUUCCAUUAUUAUGUUUAUCAUACAUUUUAUUUACAUACACUUUAAACUUAUACUAUAGGUACCAUGUAUACAUUUUUCAUUGUUACCUACAUUUUAUAUUAUAUAAUAAUAUGACACUUAUAAUUCAGAAUGUCUUAAUAUAGCAAAUAUAAAACUUUAUCUGUAAUCAUAUAAUGUAAUAUACUGUUGACCUUCUAUUAAAUUGUGUCUAUGCAUGUUAUUAUAUGUAUUAUAAAUUAUAAGACUGUAUAAGUCAAGAACAGUUAACUACUAUUUAUACAUAAUAUAUUGUGUUGAAUAAAUAAAUAUAUAUUAUAUUUAACUUAGUGAUAAAACAUUAAAAUAUAAAUGUAAGAUAAUAGUAAAAUAAUCACUUGUGUUUGUAUUUAGGUAAUUUAUGUAAUGCAGAUGAAAUUAAAUCAUGGAGUUGUCAUAAAGAAAUAGAUAAUCAAAAACGGUUGACUAAAGAAGGAGAGGAUGAACUUUUCGCUAUUGCUGAACGCAUGCAACUACGGUUUCCUCAAUUAUUAAAUCAACCAUUUGCAAAUACAAAUUAUUUGGUAAAUUAUGAUUGUUGUGUGAUCCAUAUGUAGGUGUUUUAUUUAUCAGCAUACUUAUCUAGUUUAGGUAUACUGAUACUCAAAGAACUAAAAUAAGUGCUCAACAAUUCGCUACUGGUCUGUUUGGACGUUAUGAAGUUAAGAAAGUAUCAUUUGAAAAACCAUUGGAUAAAGACCCUCUAUUAAGAGUGAGCUAAUUAAUAUUCUUAUCUUAAAUAAUUAAAAAAAAUAUUCAUAUGAUCAACUAUUAUUAAAAUAAAUAAUGUUAGUAAUAAAAUUAAUGGCAGAAAACAAUUAUUGUAGGAGAACAAAAAAAUUGGUUAUUAAUACUAACAUUAUUUACAAUAAAAAUUAAAAAUGGCACAAAUUACAAUUUAAAAGAAAAAAAAAUGGAAAAUAUCAGUUAUCCCUUGGUGGAAUAUUAUCAUAUAAAUUUGUGUUACCAAAGUUGCUUAGAUAUUUUUAAUUUAACUGGUAAAUAUUUGAUCUUCUGUGUUAUUGCUUGAAUUUCACAACAUUAUUUAAAUGGUUUUUAACUUACUUAACAUUAUUUUAUAAAUACUUAUAAAUUUUAAAUUUUUGUUUCACCCAAAGACAUUAAAACCUGGAUUGGUAGUGAUAUUACUAUUAUAGUUUAUGAUAUAUAUUAUUUAUUAACAUUGAUAUUAUGCAUUUGUAUUCAAUAUUAUACUAGAAUUUUUUAAUAAUUGCAAUUAUUUAUGUAAUAUUUCAAUAUUAUUAUUUUCUAGUUUUAUAAAGUUUGCCAAAAAUGGAGAAAAGAUGUUAAAAAGUCUUCUUUGGCAUCUAUUGAAUACCAAAAAUUUAUUGAAAAUCAAUUAACUGUUAAUACUUUAAAAAAAUUAUCUUCAAGACUUGGCCUAAAUUACACAUUAACAUUCAGUUAGUAUUAGUACUCGUUAUUCCCGUUGAUUUUGGAAAUAAAAUAAAUAUAAUUAUUUAUUUAAGAGGAUGCAAAGAAUAUAUAUGUAUACUGUGCUUUUGAAACCGCAUGGGAAAAAUAUAAAAUCUCUCCAUGGUGUUCAAUUUUUGAUAAAUCUGAUCUAAUGGUAAUUUACUUUAAAUAGAAAUUACUAAUAACUUAUAGGUAGAUCAUUUUAAUAAUUUAUAUACUUUAUAGGUUUUUGAAUAUAGCGAAGAUUUAAAACAUUACUUGAUAGAUGGCUAUACUUAUGAGUUAACAUACAAACAAGCCUGUGUCCUAUUAAAAAAUAUGAUAGAACAUUUUGAGUAAGCAAUAACAUUAUCUUAUAAUUUUAAUAUAUAUACAUUUUUUAUUUUAUUUGAAGACUUUAUUUUAUUACUAAAACUGAUUCUAUAAUUGUUAAACUAAUCUUUUAUUGAUUUAUAACUUGGUACAUAUAAUUUCUUCCUUAAGUUGUUAGAGAUUGUAUCUUUCACUUCUUUAUGCAUUUAUUUUUUCUUCCCUGAUGUGUAUAAUAAAACCAUUGUACCGCAUAAUAAUAUGUUCUGUAGACUUUUUCUAGAUUGUUUAAAUCAUUAUGAUGAUCAGUUUUUUUCUUCUGCCAUAUUUGUUACACCUACAUUAGUUUUCCUUCUCUUCAGUUUAUCUUCAUCACUCUAAGACAUGUCCUCAUCUCCAAUGUCUUAAUUCUCCUUUAUGUCUAGUGUCUAAUAUCUAUUCGUUUGUGAUGUAAUAUAUUUGGUUGUUAUUUAUAGUAAUGAUGAUUUAAAUAGCAAAAAUGGUAUUUUCUAUUUUACUCAUUCCGGAACAAUUUUAAAAGUACUUGGGUUAUUAAGACUUUAUAAAGAUGAAAGUGAAUUGAAACAUGACAAUUACUUUGAAAUGGAGAAUCGACAAUGGAGGACUUCAAAAAUAGAUCCUUUUGCUGCAAACAUAGCAUUCGUUUUGUACAAGUACUUAAAUGAUUCAUCAGAUUAGCAUUUGAUAUAUUAUAUAUUAUAUAUAUUUAUUAUUUUUAUUUUUAGGUGUAAUAAUGAUGAAAAGAAAAUAUUGACAUUACACCAAGAAAGAAUUAUUCGUAUAAAUGGCUGCGAAGAUGAUCUUUGUCCAUAUGAUAAAUUUAAACAAUUAUUUAAAACUGAACUACAAAAUUGUAAUUUUAAUGAAAUGUGUAAUAUUGACUAAAAUAUUAUUUAGAUACCAUAAAUAAUGUUAUUUAGUUAGUAACAAAAUAUCCAUAUCAAUUAUUAUUUUUAUAAUUGAAUCAAUUAUUAUUAAUUAUAAUCAGUAAUAUUUUAGUUUUAUUAGGAUACUAAAUUUUAAACAAACAAUUA